rnacentral:misc_RNA from 1 species
CACUAUAAAUCUGAAAUAUCAAUAGUGAAAACUAUGCACCAAAGCAUUGGAUCAACUCAUCAUCCAGUAAGAAUUCAUCAAUUUCAAAAUUAUAUGGACUGGGGAGUCCUCCGAAUUCUAACGACAAGCUAUGUAGUGGAGGUGGAGACCCAAAAGGUCUAUCCUUAAUCAAAUGAUGCAACUCUCCUACAGUGAUCUCAUUUCCAUCCUUAUGUAAAGCUGAUAUGUGGCCUCCAUAAUCUUGUGAUCUGAUCUGUGGUGCAUCCAUUGUGACAUGAGACCGCUGUGCAUCAUGAGUAGGCCCAUAGUCAACAGAUGGAUUAUAGAUAUCGUAAGCAGAUCCAUGAUGCAACCCUGAAUUUUGUAAGUCUGAGAAAAACAUGGAGCUUCCAUCUGCAUGCAUGCUCCCCAUAGAAUCAACAUUGGCAGGGGGAACGGCAGGAAAGUAGUUAAAUUCAGAUGGUGGUAGACUGGAUCCACUUUCAAGGCCUUUCUUCCAAGGCCUCAAACCAGUAGUUGUAUCAUUUUCCUGUUCAGUGCCAUUAAUCUGAUAUUUCACAGCUGAUAAAUCAGUAGUGUUUAUAUCAGGCACAGUAUUUAUAGGCUCCUCAGCAAAUGAACGCUUACUAAGAGAUGGUCCAGACUGUUGAUCAGCAUGGCUAGAUUUCCCACGAAGCCUCUUUCUCCUUGGUUGCUUUUCCCCUUGAUCCUUAUCUUCGACAGCUUGGAGAUUGUCAUUUUGAACACUGCUUGGUGGCUCCACUUCCAUUGCUGUAUUUCUCCUGUUAUCUUUUGAUGAAACAGAACCAAUACCAUCAUCAGUAGCAUCAACAUCAUAAUCACUGUCACUGCUAAUGGCAGGUCGCUUCUUUUCACCAUGUCCACCUUGAGGCGUUUCAGUUAUACCAGAAGUGCCAUUAUCACUGCUAGGCUGUUGAAUGAGGGAUUCCUCUCGACUCAAGACACUCAGCCAAAUUGCACUCUCCUUU